rnacentral:rRNA from 1 species
UAACGAUACGGGACUCAUCCGAGGCCCCGUAAUCGGAAUGAGUACACUUUAAAUCCUUUAACGAGGACCCAUUGGAGGGCAAGUCUGGUGCCAGCAGCCGCGGUAAUUCCAGCUCCAAUAGCGUAUAUUAAAGUUGUUGCGGUUAAAAAGCUCGUAGUUGAAUCUGUGUGCCACGCUGUCGGUUCAUCGCUCGCGAUGUUUAACUGACAUGAUUGUGGGACGUCCUACCGGUGGGCUUUGCUCCUCACGGGGCGGUCCAGCUAAUAUCCCAUCGCGGUGCUCUUUACCGAGUGUCGAGGUGGGCCGGUACGUUUACUUUGAACAAAUUAGAGUGCUCAAAGCAGGCUAUGUUCGCCUGAAUAUUCGUGCAUGGAAUAAUGGAAUAGGACCUCGGUUCUAUUUUGUUGGUUUUCGGAACCCCGAGGUAAUGAUUAAUAGGGACAGAUGGGGGCAUUCGUAUUGCGACGUUAGAGGUGAAAUUCUUGGAUCGUCGCAAGACGGACAGAAGCGAAAGCAUUUGCCAAAAAUGUUUUCAUUAAUCAAGAACGAAAGUUAGAGGUUCGAAGGCGAUCAGAUACCGCCCUAGUUCUAACCAUAAACGAUGCCAGCUAGCGAUCCGCCGAAGUUCCUCCGAUGACUCGGCGGGCAGCUUCCGGGAAACCAAAGCUUUUGGGUUCCGGGGGAAGUAUGGUUGCAAAGCUGAAACUUAAAGGAAUUGACGGAAGGGCACCACCAGGAGUGGAGCCUGCGGCUUAAUUUGACUCAACAC